rnacentral:rRNA from 1 species
AAUAUGUUCCUGAGCCUUGUACACACCGCCCGUCAAGCCACGAAAGCUGGGGUACCUGAAGUCGUGAUAAACGCCCAUGGUAAAACCAGUGAUUGGGACU